ACUGCAGUGGGGAACACCAACUGAAGUGUAACAACGGACGUUGUAUCAGCAGAGAGUUCCAGUGCGAUGGCGAAAACGACUGUCACGAUAUGACGGACGAGACUGGCUGUGAGAAUGUCCAGUGUGGUGUGGGUGAGGUCAAGUGCUCCAACUUCCUGUGUAUUGAGGCGGAGUGGCUGUGUGACGGAGACAACGACUGUGGCAACGGAUGGGAUGAACAGAACUGCACGUCCACCAGUGGAAAAAGAUCUGC
rnacentral:sRNA from 1 species